GUGACUUUCUUUUUAGCAGGCUGAGGUAUCACACUGACCUCUUUGACUCCAUGUCAGUUGUGGAUCCUAAGAGUCACCAGCUGUUAAGUAUGUUUUGCCUGAAUGCCACCAAGACAGUUGGCCAGAGCCCAGCGGUGCCUCCUGGCUACCUAGCGGUCUCAUCUUCACUCUUCCUGGGGGUCUUGCUGGAGAACCUGGGGAGCUCUUCCUACAAAUCUCAUCUGGGCUCCAGACCAGUGCUGCCCUGAACUAAAAGGUUCCAACUACAUACCUUGAGCUGCUGAACCCUGAAACUCCAAAAUUCCUGGUAUUUUAUAUGUGCCAAUGAACAACUGAGUUCUUUUUAUGUGAUGAAAAAACUGAAGAAAGUAAAUUCUCAGACAAAUCGUAAGAAACAUUGGAGUUUUUGUUCAAGCUCACUGCAAGCCAAGCCAAAGGAUUCUCUCUUGGGAGAAAUAUGUAUGGAAAAGAAAGAAAAAGAGGACUCAAAGGAGGAAGAAGAAGUUACAAGAAAGAAGACACAGAGGAAGGCGAAUAAACGAAAGCCUGGUUGAAGAUGGCCUGCUCCACACUGUCAACAGUGUGUUGGAAUCAGGAUGCAAAUAAGGUCUACAUGCUGUGAUUGAUUGGUAAGUCUUUUAAGUGUUUUUUAUAGGUUCCCUUUCUUCUCUCUCUCUCUCUGCCCCUAGUCCCUGCAAGGUGUUUACCGAAGAAACCAUUUGGAGUCUUAUAGAAUUUUUCAAGGUCUGGACAUUAACAUGCCUUUGUGGUAUAGUUUUUCGUGGACUUCUUGGAAAUUGGUAGGUAGAGCUAGACACUGCUGGCUUGUUUUUAAAUUACAUUUGUAGCUUACUUUAGCACUAUUUCUGUUAUGAAAUGUUACUAUUUCUCCAAAUAAGUUGCACUUGUCCAAUUUUCAUGUGUUUCAAAUGGUACAACAUUCUUUUAAGGUAAGAAAUAGCUUUAUUCCAAAAGGACUUACCACCUUAAAUCAAAUUUUAAGGAAAAAAAAAGUAUUAUUUUAGAACAAAAAAAACAAUGAUAAUGUUUUGGCACAAAAGUUAUAUUCACAGUGAGAAUAAAAAUUGUCCCAAACCUGGUCUAGGGCAGAACUUUUUUGCAUGAUAUAAUUCACAACCUCCUCUGGGAUGUAAUUGGUGUUGCUGUUAAAAUGCUUGAGCAAUUUUCUGAUAGACCUAAAUAAGAUUAAGGACUUCUGGGAAGCCAGGGUUACCCACCCAGCUGACUGGCCAGCCUAAUAAUCUUUAACCAGACAUGAUUUUUUCUUGUAUCCAGUUUAACAAUGAUUAACCGUUCACU